UACGGAGGGUGCAAGCGUUAUCCGGAUUCACUGGGUUUAAAGGGUGCGUAGGUGGGUUGGUAAGUCAGUGGUGAAAUCCCCGAGCUUAACUCGGGAACUGCCGUUGAUACUAUCAAUCUUGAAUAUCGUUGAGGUAAGCGGAAUAUGUCAUGUAGCGGUGAAAUGCUUAGAUAUGACAUAGAACACCGAUAGCGGAGGCAGCUUACUAAGCGAUUAUUGACACUGAGGCACGAAAGCGUGGGGAUCAAAC
rnacentral:rRNA from 1 species